rnacentral:lncRNA from 1 species
CUGGGUGCUCCUGGUGGUCCUGCACGAUCGGCUGUGCAGUAGGCUUGUCAAGGAGAGGAUCCUCCCUGGCCUCUCCUUGGGCAGAGGAGGUGGUCCAUAAAGCUGCUCUGGAGCCAAAAUAUUGCAGUCACAUCUCGGCAGCGACCUGCCCUCAGGUGGCAUUUUCAAGUCAUGGAGAAGGCGGAGAGAGAAGCAAUCAGCAGCCACCCACUGCAGCUGGAGACCCCAGAACUUGGUGUCUGCCUCCCAUGGCACUGGGAAGGCUGGAGGCAGCUCACCAAGGAAAAGACAAACUCCUAAAAGCUUCCAGGGAGAAAGUCAUGCAUAAACAAGUGAAACUCAGGAUGGCAUGAGGCUUCGCCACCACGACUGGUUAGAAGACAACAGCACAGACUUUGAAAUUCUAAGAUCAUCUUUGUAACAAGAAGAAAACCAACCAAAUGAAAAUGAAAUGAAUUCUCUCAAAAAGAAUUAAGUCAAGACAGGAAGAAGGCUCGCAAAGUAAUAUAAAAUAUAUCUUAUGGUUUAUGUAAAAUUCUUAAUAAAAUACCUUCUUU